rnacentral:lncRNA from 1 species
CCUUAGAUUUUCCAACCGUUCUUACUGUGUCCGAUUGCUCUGUCCAGGGGGAAACGUCAUCUAAGGUCGUAAAGUCGAAUAGGAUACGGUCGCUGUAAGAAGUGGAAGGGAGGUCGUUCAUUUACUUUCAUAAAUUUUCACGAGGACCGGGAACAAGCAAUUAGCGGUGACCGCGUCUGUCUCUGCUCAGAAUUCGUUACGCGAAUAUCACGACCGUUUCCGCAGAUCUUGGGAGUAUCUCCAGGCGAUAGUUCGAGUUCGUAUAUCGCAUAAUUGGCUCCUGGAUCGGUUAUGGAACUGCAUCUGAACGAGUAUGUAGAAAGUACUGCACCCGAAGCAAACACAUCACUUGGGACAAAAAAAAAUGUACGAGAAGCCAGCCGAUGGAAAGUAAAAGGAAAAGGGAGACACGAAUUUGCGGAAAAACUCGAUGGAGGAAGAAAAGUGUAUCGGCGCAGUUCGAAGGGAUGGACGGUUGGUUGGCUCGCAGGGUAGGCGACCUGGUGCACUACUUUCGCAUAUUGCAACACCUGCUCCGAUGCGGUGCACGAAGAUGAACAACAUAUCUUCGUCUCGAACAGCAAGACCGUAGGGACAAAAAUCUACCAGGACGAUUACUGUGAGGUCUGACUUCGCUGAUUGCGGGAUCAGCGGCUACCAAAGCCGCAAGUAUCACCACCAGGCUAAUGGGCGCCAACAUCAUCUGCAAUGCAAAAACGAAACGAUGUAGGUAAAUGGAUGUGGAAGACAGUGCGAAUAUCGAAUUGGAAGCAACUCGUUGGAAUAAUCGCCGCGGUGGACCUUACCUUGUUUAAGAAGAUGUGAGAGAACUGAUUUCUGACCGAGAACUGCACUCUCGGAUGUGCUGCUGCCUGGAAUUCGAAGUCCCAAGUUCUCUGAACUGCGAAACGUUUAACACAAUCGCCUUCGCAUCCGCCUACAACCCAUCUACUUGGCUACAACUUGGCGCUCGUUUCUCCAGAUUGCGAAGCGUUAUCGCUGUGGUACCUCCUCACGGCCGAAGCUGCUCAGAGCCUGCCUAUGCGGGCGUUAGAGUCUCUCUAGCGUAUUUUUAUACUAUAGAUAAUAAGGGAUACCGCAAACCAGGCAGCUCGGGGACUGGGGAAAAUCGUCUUGCGAGUUACUCUCCGCCUACCACACGACGUUCAGAUUUGUCUGAAAUGUGGAGCGAGGGAGGUCGGGAUCGUUUCAAUGAUUGUCUUACCGGCCGCAGGAGUGAACGCGUGGAUUGAAUAAGACAAUGAAAAAAAAGGCGGAGCAUACUGUGGCUGUUGGUUGAUCGGCGGUCCAGGGGGUCCGGGGUAAGGUCCUCCAGCAGAACCUCGUUGAGGUGGAAAU